AUCUUGCGCAAUGUGCGAAAGCGUGACGCAGCAACGCCGCGUGGGGGAAGACGGCCUUCGGGUUGUAAACCCCUUUCAGGAGAGACGAAGGUUCACCGGUGAAUAGCCGUGUGGAUUGACGGUACCUCCACAAGAAGCUCCGGCUAACUACGUGCCAGCAGCCGCGGUAAUACGUAGGGAGCAAGCGUUGUCCGGAAUCAUUGGGCGUAAAGCGCGCGUAGGUGGCCACAUAAGUCCGUUGUGAAAGUCAAAGGCUCAACCUUUGAAAGCCGAUGGAUACUGUGUGGCUAGAGUACGGAAGAGGCGAGUGGAAUUCCUGGUGUAGCGGUGGAAUGCGCAGAUAUCAGGAGGAACACCAAUAGCGAAGGCAGCUCGCUGGGACGUUACUGACACUGAGGCGCGAAAGCGUGGGGAGCGAAC
rnacentral:rRNA from 1 species